rnacentral:misc_RNA from 1 species
AAUAACAUUAAUGUUGGGGUUCUUUUCUUGUGAAUUGGACUCUGCUUGUGUGAAUCUUGUGAGUUGCAUGGAGAGGGUGCUUUAUGUGUCUGAUCCGGCAAUGUGAGUCUAGCUUUGGUGUUUGUAUUGUGAUGGCACAUUAUGUGUUAUUACGUACUGCACCAGUUAUCCUCUCUAAUUUAAACACUAUCAAAAUACCAACUACAACUAUAUAACGAGGCAUAAUACCCUCAUCAAUAUUUUA